GCCUGGGUGGCUUAGUUGGUUGAGUGUCUGAUUUUGGCUCAGGUCAUGAUCUCACAGUGCGUGGGUUCAAGCCCCUCGUUGGGCU
rnacentral:tRNA from 1 species